AGCGGCGGACGGGUGAGUAACGCGUAGGAAUCUACCUAGUAGAAGGGGAUAGCCCGGGGAAACCCGGAUUAAUACCGUAUACCUCCUUCGGGAGAAAGAAGGCCUCUCUUUGAAGCUUCGCUACUAGAUGAGCCUGCGUAAGAUUAGCUUGUUGGUGAGGUAAAGGCUCACCAAGGCAACGAUCUUUAGCUGGUCUGAGAGGACGAUCAGCCACAUUGGGACUGAGACACGGCCCAGACUCCUACGGGAGGCAGCAGUGGGGAAUAUUGGACAAUGGGCGCAAGCCUGAUCCAGCCAUACCGCGUGUGUGAAGAAGGCCUUCGGGUUGUAAGGCACUUUAAGCAGGGAGAAAAAGUUAUAAGCUAAUACCUUAUAACCUUGAUGUUACCUGCAGAAUAAGCACCGGCUAAUUCCGUGCCAGCAGCCGCGGUAAUACGGAAGGUGCAAGCGUUAAUCGGAAUUACUGGGCGUAAAGCGCGCGUAGGUGGUUUGUUAAGUUGGAUGUGAAAGCCCUGGGCUCAACCUAGGAACUGCAUCCAAAACUAACUCACUAGAGUACGAUAGAGGGAGGUAGAAUUCAUAGUGUAGCGGUGGAAUGCGUAGAUAUUAUGAAGAAUACCAGUGGCGAAGGCGGCCUCCUGGAUCUGUACUGACACUGAGGUGCGAAAGCGUGGGUAGCGAACAGGAUUAGAUACCCUGGUAGUCCACGCCGA
rnacentral:rRNA from 1 species